rnacentral:lncRNA from 13 species
AUGGAAUUAGUGGGCUUACAAAAACAUAUUCCAGGUCUAGAGAACAGAGUAAAUGGGGGAAACAAUUAUUUGCUUAGAUGGCUGAAAAGGUGGAGUUUGGGAAAUAGUGUCAUGGCAUACUUGUGGUUUUUUUUUUUUUUUUUUGAGAUGGAGUCUAGCUCUGUCACCAGGCUGGAGUGCAUUGGCGCGAUCUCAGUUCACUGCAACCUCCACCUCCCAGGUUCAAGCAAUUCUCCUGCCUCAGCCUCCCAAGUAGCUGGGACUACAGGUGUACACUACCACACCCAGGAUGACACAGCAAGAAGACCAUUACCUUAUGCUUAUCCUCGCCCCUUGAUCUUGGCCUCCAGAAAUGCUGAGUACCAAGAUCAGCAGUCAGCAAGAAAGGGACCUAGGAGAGCCAACAGCAUCAAUUCCAGUCUGAGGGCAGAAGAAGACCAAUGUGUAAUGAAGAAUCUUGAGAUCAUCCUGUAUGACCAAGGUAGACCCUAAAUCCAGUGGCAACUGUCUUCAUAAGAGGCGGAAGACACAGACACAGAGAAGAGACCAUGUGAAAACAAAAGAAGAGGCUGGAGUGAUGCAGCCAUCAGGAGUAUGUGAAGGGAGCUACAUCUAGGAGUGAACUUUGAGAAUACCAAUCUUUAAUGGUGGUUAAAAAAGGAUGACUCUGCAGAGGAAACCUAAGAUGUAGAGAGAAAACACCAGGUGAGUGUUUCCCUUGGGAGCCAAGGAAAAGUAGUAUUUCUAGGCUGAUAUAAUAACGGACGUUGUCAAACACUAUUAACAGGUGAGGUAAUAUAAACAAUAAAAAUAUUAAUUGAUUUUAGGUUUUAACA